AGGAAUUCGUGCGUCAUUCGCCGGGGUUGUGUUGUUCGCUGAUACUCUGCGCGUUUUUGCAUCUCUAUCGGUGGCUCAACCUUUUUGGCACUUUCUUAUGACUGCGGCUUUCGCGGCACCAAUGUCCUGGAUGAUGAGGCGUUUACGCUGCUCUAGUCGGAGGCCCUAAAUUGGCAGUCGUGCAGAAGGAACGCCCUGGAGCUGGAGAGGUGAGCUGGAGAGGCUCCGUCAUUUGCGGUUGCCCUCAGCGCUCAUUUUCUCCCGAGCAACGUGGAUCGCCAAUUGGGCAUGGUGAGCACACGCUUGGUUUACCCGAAGCAUCGUUUGCCCCUACUGCCAACUUUGUAGUAGCGGGCUGCUGCUGUGUUGCCGAUUAUACAGCUUGGACAAGUGCGCAUGUGCCCGGAUUUGGGCCGCUGCUUAUGUUCGACUGGGUACGCAGCACUGAGUCUGGGAACAUUCUUGGUCAAUUCGCCAGAAUGAGUGUGUGGCACUGGGCAGGUGCCCGAACAUGAAGAACAAAAGGCAAGAACUGAAGAACUGGGUGACGGAAAAUUGAAGAAGUCAGUUGCAGAGAAGUCUUUGGCCUUGGAUGUACUUGCGCAAAUAAAACGUGAUAGUCAGCAUCAUUAUUUGCAGAGAAGUGAAGAAGCCGGCAUCAAAAAUGCGGAAAAAAAUGGAAAGCGGAAAAAAUGAGACCAGAACAUCCAUUGGACGAUGAGCGAUGAGCCCCACAGAAGAGAAGGAGAAGUGAAGAAAUGGAGAGAGUUGGGUGAACACCAAAUAAACGUUCGCUUACGACCGCUUCUCAACAUGUGCCUGGGAUCCGCUGAUAUUUUUUGGCUUCGCGCUCAGGGUACUCCACGAGAACAGCAAACAAGCCGCAAGAAGAAGUGAUGUUACAGGCACGCAGAAUGAAAUUGUACGAUAAACUACCGACACAACUGUCUUACACUCAAAGUGCUGUCGACUUCUUUCGUUAUGCAAUUCAAUUAAACAGGAGUAAUUUACCCA